CAGCAGCCACGGGAAUACGGAGGGUGCAAGCGUUAAUCGGAAUUACUGGGCGUAAAGCGCACGCAGGCGGUCUGACAAGUCAGAUGUGAAAUCCCCGGGCUUAACCUGGGAACUGCAUUUGAAACUGUCAGGCUGGAGUCUUGUAGAGGGGGGUGGAAUUCCAGGUGUAGCGGUGAAAUGCGUAGAGAUCUGGAGGAAUACCGGUGGCGAAGGCGGCCCCCUGGACAAAGACUGACGCUCAGGUGCGAAAGCGUGGGGAGCAAACAGGAUUAGAUACCCCGGAGUCCCUGUCUCUUAUACA
rnacentral:rRNA from 1 species